UAAUAGAAACAAUUUAAAUUUAAGAACAAAUGUAAUUGUUAUGCACUUAUAUUUAUUUAUUAAUUGAUGAUAAAUUAAUAAUUAUUAUGUAUCUCUAUUGAAGUAUAUAUAAUUUAUAUAUUCAUCCUGUGUAGAUGUAACUUAUGUAUAGUGAUUAAUUUCUGGAACAUUCAAAUUAGCAUCAGCCACAAUGUAAAUAUUUAUGACCCCUCAAGUGGAACCUGCUGUUUUCAUAACUACCAAUGUUAAACUCACCUAUCUGAUAUAAGAGAAUAGAAAGAGGUAAAGCAGGUUUACAACAUACUAUAUUACACUGUAGCUCCCAAGUAACUUAAUACCCUUGCAGAACAAAUCACAGGUCAGAACACUCCUUCCAGGCGGGUCAUUUGAACAGGAGCAUUGAAAGAUAAUGUUUAUUAGUGCCUUAAUAUACUGCUUAAAAGUUAUAACUUGAAAUAUUAUGUUGGAGCAUUGGAAAUUAGACCAAAUGAGUUUAAACUGGACAAAUUUACAAGAGUUUUCUGGAAAUAUGAACUUUUAAACAUGUGUAUUUCAUGAUUCAGUUAAAAUGGAGGGAACUACAUGUAUAUAACCAUUUCUAACAGUAAGUACAAAUGUAUUUUUAUUUUUUAACACUUAUUAUUUUAGUUUUUUCAAACUUUCUUUGCAAGUAUACACUGUUUCAGUUAUUGUAUUUCUACAUACAUGUAACUUUUCAAUAUAAAUAGUUAAGGAAAUCUUUUUCAUUUUUAAAUAAUGGCGGGAAAUUUUAAAUCAGAGAUUACAAUUUUACAUUCAAAAUAUUGGUGAUUGAUCAAGCAAUGAAUUUCCAAAUUCACAUUUAAUAAAAUUCAUAAUAUGCCUUAAUUGUAAUUUCUUGUUACUCAUGUACAUAUGUUUAUUUUUUCAACAUAUUAGGUUGCAAACUUUCAAGUCUUGGAGUCACAUGAGAUGUUUCAACUCAAAGGAUGUCAGAUGAGGGAAAAGUGAUAAAUGUACUGUUGAAUACAGAAUGCUUACAAAACCAUCCUGGACCAACUGCAGAGCAAGGUUAUUGGCAUAACCACCUACAGUAAGAUGGCCAUUGUUCUAUUCCGCUUUUUGUAUAAAGAGGAGGAAUAUGCCGGAAAAUCAUUGACAGGGAAAGCAUCCAAAAGUGGCGAAAAAAGGCCACCUGUUGACCAAGAAAAAGUGACAGGAAUUUACGAUAUCAUCAAAAGGAAUUUUCCGCAUGUCACACCAGUGAUGGUCAGGGAAAAGCUGCGUGACAUUGUCAAGCCAUCUCGUGCCAACAAAACAGUGAAACAAUAAAUAUGUGUACAAAAUAAACUGUGGCCGUUUUAGCCAUUCAGAACAAUAUAAAUGAGAACAUUUGAGAACUUGUUUUACUUCAUAUAUGGUGUAAAUAAAUCUUUAAUGUGUCAUAAUUUUACAGCCUUGUCAAUUCAAAAUCAUUGUUACACUAGUGCAACUCCCAAGUGAAAAAGAUUAUGUGGGACCUUUUUUUACAGACUUUUAAACAGGUAUCUCAACACAAGUGUGAUAUCAUGGACAUUGACCAUGGAUGUCAUAAAAGAUUCCUCAAAAUUGGUUUUGAACAUUGAUAGAAUGGACAUUGUCCAUAGAAAGAAUGGACAUUGUCCAUGGAAAGAAUGGACAUUGUCCAUGGUAAGAAUGGACAUUGUCCAUUGUAAGAAUGGACAUUGUCCAUGGACAUCAUGGACAUUGUCCAUGGGUAUCAUGGACAAUGGACAUGGAAAGCAUGGACAUGGAUAGCAUGGACACUGUCCAGGGAUAUAAAGAAUUGUCCAUGGACAAGUGUUUCAAUACUCCAUGGACACUGUCCAUGCUUAUAUCCAUGGAAAUCCAUGGACAUUCUGUAGCCG